rnacentral:rRNA from 1 species
UACGAAGGGGGGCUAGCGUUGCUCGGAAUUACUGGGCGUAAAGCGCACGUAGGCGGCUUGUUAAGUCGGGGGUGAAAUCCUGGAGCUCAACUCCAGAACUGCCUUCGAUACUGAUGAGCUUGAGUUCGGGAGAGGUGAGUGGAACUGCGAGUGUAGAGGUGAAAUUCGUAGAUAUUCGCAAGAACACCAGUGGCGAAAGGCGGCUCACUGGCCCGAUACUGACGCUGAGGUGCGAAAGCCAGGGGAGCAAACGGG